AGUGAACGCUGGCGGUAGGCCUAACACAUGCAAGUCGAACGGCAGCACAGUAAGAUCUUGCUCUUACGGGUGGCGAGUGGCGGACGGGUGAGGAAUACAUCGGAAUCUACUUUUUCGUGGGGGAUAACGUAGGGAAACUUACGCUAAUACCGCAUACGACCUACGGGUGAAAGCAUGGGAUCUUCGGACCUUGCGCGAUUGAAUGAGCCGAUGUCGGAUUAGCUAGUUGGCGGGGUAAAGUCCCACCAAGGCGACGAUCCGUAGCUGGUCUGAGAGGAUGAUCAGCCACACUGGAACUGAGACACGGUCCAGACUCCUACGGGAGGCAGCAGUGGGGAAUAUUGGACAAUGGGCGCAAGCCUGAUCCAGCAAUACCGCGUGGGUGAAGAAGGACUUCGGGUUGUAAAGCCCUUUUGUUGGGAAAGAAAAGCAGCAGGUUAAUACCCCGCUGUUCUGACGGUAACCAAAGAAUAAGCACCGGCUAACUUCGUG
rnacentral:rRNA from 1 species